rnacentral:rRNA from 1 species
AUUGAACGCUGGCGGCAGGCUUAACACAUGCAAGUCGAGCGGGGUGAUGGUGCUUGCACUAUCACUUAGCGGCGGACGGGUGAGUAAUGCUUAGGAAUCUGCCUAUUAGUGGGGGACAACAUCUCGAAAGGGAUGCUAAUACCGCAUACGUCCUACGGGAGAAAGCAGGGGAUCACUUGUGACCUUGCGCUAAUAGAUGAGCCUAGGUCGGAUUAGCUAGUUGGGGGGGUAAAGGCCUACCAAGGCGACGAUCUGUAGCGGGUCUGAGAGGAUGGUCCGCCACACUGGGACUGAGAAACGGCCCAGGCUCCGACGGGAGGCAGCAGUGGGGAAUAUUGGACAAUGGGGUGAACCCUGAUCCAGCCAUGCCGCGUGUGUGAAGAAGGCCUUAUGGUUGUAAAGCACUUUAAGCGAGGAGGAGGCUCUUUUGGUUAAUACCCAAGAUGAGUGGACGUUACUCGCAGAAUAGGCACCGGCUAACUCUGUGCCAGCAGCCGCAGUAA